rnacentral:rRNA from 1 species
AUGAGGCUGCAGAAUGAGGAUGGCAAAGAGGUUAACAAAGAUCUCUUUGCCUUGGCAUGUGGUCCUGAUUCGAGAGUCAGGAAAUACUCAUCAUGCAUAAUGAAUGGCAUUCGGUUUAGUACCGUGGACCGUGAUAACAGUAGGAGAACACAGAAUAGUGGAGUUGUGUCCGAAGGUAGGCAUGACAGGAAGGUCAUUGACUUUUAUGGAACCCUGAAAGAGAUCAUUCAGUUAGACUAUAACUUGGACGAUAGGUCAGUCGUUUUGUUUAAAUGUGAUUGGUUUAAGCUUCAUGGGAAGAAGACCGAACUUCAAAAUGAUGGAUUUUUUACAAGCAUCAAUGUGGUAAGUAUAUGGUACAAGGAUGAUUCUUUGAUUCUGGCUACUCGGGCUAAAAAGGUCUUCUAUUUGCCAGACACAAAGUUAGGGAAAAUUUGGGAAGUUGUCCAAACAUUCGACCAUAGGCAUCUCUUCAAUAUUAGUGAAACUGAGGGUGCACCUUUUGCUGCUCUUUCAUAUCAAGAGGAGUGUUGUGAUGAGGAUGUCAGAUGA